AGCGAACGCUGGCGGCAGGCCUAACACAUGCAAGUCGAACGAAGCCUUCGGGCUUAGUGGCGGACGGGUGAGUAACACGUGGGAACGUACCUUUUGGUUCGGAAUAACGCAGAGAAAUUUGCGCUAAUACCGAAUGAGCCCUUAGGGGGAAAGAUUUAUCGCCGAAAGAUCGGCCCGCGUUGGAUUAGGUAGUUGGUGUGGUAAAGGCGCACCAAGCCUACGAUCCAUAGCUGGUCUGAGAGGAUGAUCAGCCACACUGGGACUGAGACACGGCCCAGACUCCUACGGGAGGCAGCAGUGGGGAAUCUUGCGCAAUGGGCGAAAGCCUGACGCAGCCAUGCCGCGUGAAUGAUGAAGGUCUUAGGAUUGUAAAAUUCUUUUACCAGGGACGAUAAUGACGGUACCUGGAGAAAAAGCCCCGGCUAACUUCGUGCCAGCCGCCGCGGUAA
rnacentral:rRNA from 1 species